UAGAGUUUGAUCAUGGCUCAGGAUGAACGCUGGCGGCGUGCCUAACACAUGCAAGUCGAACGGAGUUGUGCAUUGGAAGUUUUCGGAUGGAAGAAGCAGAACUUAGUGGCGGACGGGUGAGUAACGCGUGGGUAACCUGCCGUAUACAGGGGGAUAACAGUUGGAAACAACUGCUAAUACCGCAUAAGCGCACACUGUCGCAUGACAGAGUGUGAAAAUUUCCGGAGGUAUACGAUGGACCCGCGUCUGAUUAGCCAGUUGGCAGGGUAACGGCCUACCAAAGCAACGAUCAGUAGCCGGCCUGAGAGGGUGGACGGCCACAUUGGGACUGAGACACGGCCCAAACUCCUGCGGGAGGCAGCAGUGGGGGAUAUUGCACAAUGGGGGAAACCCUGAUGCAGCGACGCCGCGUGAGUGAAGAAGCAUUUCGGUGUGUAAAGCUCUAUCAGCAGGGAAGAAGAAUGACGGUACCUGACUAAGAAGCCCCGGCUAACUACGUGCCAGCAGCCGCGGUAAUACGUAGGGGGCAAGCGUUAUCCGGAUUUACUGGGUGUAAAGGGAGCGUAGACGGCCAGGCAAGUCUGGAGUGAAAGCCCGGGGCUCAACCCCGGGACUGCUUUGGAAACUGUAGGGCUGGAGUGCAGGAGGGGUAAGCGGAAUUCCUAGUGUAGCGGUGAAAUGCGUAGAUAUUAGGAGGAACACCGGUGGCGAAGGCGGCUUACUGGACUGCAACUGACGUUGAGGCUCGAAGGCGUGGGGAGCAAACAGGAUUGGAUACCCUGGUAGUCCACGCGGUAA
rnacentral:rRNA from 1 species